rnacentral:lncRNA from 1 species
UGAAGCUGGUGUUACUGGUGUUCCUGGGGUUACUGGAGUUCCUGGGCUCAUAGGCAUCGCCAACUUGCUGCUGCUGCUUGUCUCUCCCUCCACAUCUACAACCAAUAUAUAUAUAUAUAUAUAUAUAUAUCAAAUUUAAUCAAAACCCAAAAAACCAUAUGAUAUAUGGAAACUAGAAUUAAAAAAGAGGCAAACUUUGUCACAUAUAUAUGUAGCACCUUUGAUGUUCAAGGGUUUUGGGGUGACCUUCCUAAGCUUGCCAAGCCCGCGUUCAGGCUGAGGUCCAGCAACAAUGUCAUCCCAAAGCUUUUCAAGCAGAACCAUUUUUUGCUCACUCUUUCUUUCUUUUCCUUCUCUUUCUCUCUCUA